UGUUUCAAUUCAAAAUGUAUUGAUCACAAUUGUAUUUUAUUUAAUUGAGGUUAUUAUUAUAUUUUUAAUAGAAUAAUUGUGAAACAUAUUGAGCUCCACAGCAGAGGCCUCCUUUUCUCUGAAAUUAAUAUUAUGUUGUGCUAAGGACUGAAAAACAUAUUGGUUUAAACACAAAGGUAAAUAAUUGGUAGUGUGGUUAAUACAGUGUUCUUAUCAUAAUUCAUUAUGUUUUGCUUUUUUCAGUUCAAAGAUGCCACGUAAAGAAAGACGGCAGAAACAAAAAAGAAAAGAAUUGAUAGAUGCAGCAAAAGGUAGUGGAUUGUUGACCGACUGGGUCAGAACGAGUACUGCAGAUGGACAGAAGGAAAGUGAUAGAUCAGAGGAGGAGACAAAAAUGCAGUCAGCAACACAGGAAGACAGGCAAGGAGAGGGACAACAGUCAGAAAUAAACACUAUGGAUGAAAAUGCAAAGCAACAAGUCUUUUUUUUUUAUAAAUUACAGUACACUAAAAGGUUGUAUUGUGCCCUUGUUUAUAUUUUUAAUAGUGUAAUUCUGUAAAGACAAAAUAUGUAAAUCGGAGCUAAACCAUCAGCUCUGAUUUACAUAUUUUGCUAAAUUGCGGGUUUGAAUAUUGCAAUACUUUCCUAUAACAAAAUAGACCUGCAGAAAGAAAUUACUAAUAAAAUAUCUAACAUA